CCUACGGGAGGCAGCAGUGGGGAAUAUUGCACAAUGGGCGCAAGCCUGAUGCAGCCAUGCCGCGUGUAUGAAGAAGGCCUUCGGGUUGUAAAGUACUUUCAGCGGGGGGGAAGGUGUUGUGGUUAAUAACCGCAGCAAUUGACGUUACCCGCAGAAGAAGCACCGGCUAACUCCGUGCCAGCAGCCGCGGUAAU
rnacentral:rRNA from 1 species